AUUGAACGCUGGCGGCAGGCCUAACACAUGCAAGUCGCACGAGUGGCGGACGGGUGAGUAAUGUCUGGGAAACUGCCUGAUGGAGGGGGAUAACUACUGGAAACGGUAGCUAAUACCGCAUACCAUCAGAUUUGCCCAGAUGGGAUUAGCUAGUAGGUGGGGUAAUGGCUCACCUAGGCGACUAUCCCUAGCUGGUCUGAGAGGAGGACCAGCCACACUGGAACUGUGACACGGUCCAGACUCCUACGGGAGGCAGCAGUGGGGAAGAUUGCACAAUGGGCGCAAGCCUGAUGCAGCCAUGCCGCGUGUGUGAAGAAGGCCUUCGGGUUGUAAAGCACUUUAAGCGGGGAGGCGUUACUCGCAGAAGAAGCACCGGCUAACUCCGUGCCAGCAGACGCGGUAAUAC
rnacentral:rRNA from 1 species